rnacentral:rRNA from 1 species
UACGUAGGGUGCAAGCGUUGUCCGGAAUUAUUGGGCGUAAAGAGCGUGUAGGCGGCUUUACAGGUCCGUUGUGAAAACUCGAGGCUCAACCUCGAGACGCCGGUGGAAACCGUAAAGCUAGAGUCCGGAAGAGGAGAGUGGAAUUCCUGGUGUAGCGGUGAAAUGCGCAGAUAUCAGGAGGAACACCCGUGGCGAAAGCGGCUCUCUGGGACGGUACUGACGCUGAGACGCGAAAGCGUGGGGAGCAAACAGG